GUCUAUGGCCAUGCCACCCUGAACAAGAUCGAUCCUGUCUGAUCUCGGAAGCUAAACAGGGUCAGAUCUGGUUAGUACUUGGAUGGGAGAUCACCUAGGAAGACCAGGUGCUGUAGGUG
rnacentral:rRNA from 1 species